rnacentral:misc_RNA from 1 species
GAUGAAGAACGCAGCGAAAUGCGAUAAGUAAUGUGAAUUGCAGAAUUCAGUGAAUCAUCGAAUCUUUGAACGCACCUUGCGCCCUUUGGCCAUUCCGAAGGGCAUGCCUGUUUGAGUAUCAUGAACACCUCAACUCUCAUGGCUUGCCAUGAUGAGCUUGGACUUUGGGGGUCUUGCUGGCCUGUGGUCGGCUCCUCUCAAAUGAAUCAGCUUGCCAGUGUUUGGUGGCAUCACAAGUGUGAUAACUAUCUGCGCUCGUGGUUUCCAUCAGAUAACCUCCAGUGAUGGAGGUUCGCUGGAGCUCAUAAAUGUCUCUCCUAAGCGAGGACAGCUCUUUUAAUGUUUGAUCUCAAAUCAGGUAGGACUACCCGCUGAACUUAAGCAUAUCAAUAAGCGGAGGA